rnacentral:rRNA from 1 species
UACGGGGGGAGCAAGCGUUGUUCGGAUUUACUGGGCGUAAAGGGCGCGUAGGCGGUCAGCACAAGUCAGUUGUGAAAUCUCCGGGCUUAACUCGGAAAGGUCAACUGAUACUGUGCGACUAGAGUGCAGAAGGGGCAACUGGAAUUCUCGGUGUAGCGGUGAAAUGCGUAGAUAUCGAGAGGAACACCAGUAGCGAAGGCGGCUCGCUGGGCCGUUCCUGACGCUGAGACGCGAAAGCUAGGGGAGCGAACAGG